UCCGUAGGUGAACCUGCGGAAGGAUCAUUACUGUGAUUUAGUACUACACUGCGUGAGCGGAACGAAAACAACAACACCUAAAAUGUGGAAUAUAGCAUAUAGUCGACAAGAGAAAUCUACGAAAAACAAACAAAACUUUCAACAACGGAUCUCUUGGUUCUCGCAUCGAUGAAGAGCGCAGCGAAAUGCGAUACCUAGUGCGAAUUGCAGCCAUCGUGAAUCAUCGAGUUCUUGAACGCACAUUGCGCCCCUCGGCAUUCCGGGGGGCAUGCCUGUUUGAGCGUCGUUUCCAUCUUGCGCGUGCGCAGAGUUGGGGGAGCGGAGCGGACGACGUGUAAAGAGCGUCGGAGCUGCGACUCGCCUGAAAGGGAGCGAAGCUGGCCGAGCGAACUAGACUUUUUUUCAGGGACGCUUGGCGGCCGAGAGCGAGUGUUGCGAGACAACAAAAAGCUCGACCUCAAAUCAGGUAGGAAUACCCGCUGAACUUAAGCAUAUCAAUAAGCGGAGGA
rnacentral:rRNA from 1 species